rnacentral:tRNA from 1 species
AGCCUGUUGGCAUAGUGGUUAAGAGCUUGGCUGCUAACCAAAAGGUUGGUGGUUCAAAUCUAUCAACUGCUC